GACCCAGCACCCUCCACCAGCUGUACGUACAGGGAAUCUCAUCUCCUCAGCCUUUCUUCUUAUCUCUUUUUUUCUCUCUCUAGAAUCUGCCAUAGGUGGUUUUGAAGGAGCUUCUUAGUGGAGUCGAUACUUUGAGCUGAAAGGAAGGCUUUUGAGCAGGAAAUUGGUUGUUGGAGAGGAAAACCAAGGAAAGUUCGACGUGUUCGGAAGCUCGAAUUGACAUUCCGACGGACCUACGAUGUGCUAAUUAGGAAAAGCCUUGUUUUGCUUGCGUUUGCGUUGAGUCACGAGGAAUAGGCGCUUGUAAAUUUUGAAGCUCUAGUUCUAGCAUUUUGGCAUCCCUAUAAGGUCCUAGAGCGAGCAGAGCGGUCGAGGAUCGCGGCAAGGGCGUUGCACCUUAGUUAGUGGACUCCCGAGUAUAGCUAUGUACCAUUUUUGGCUUUCAUCUGAUAUAUAUGAUGAAAAGGAAAUCAUGUAAAAAUGUUGUACGAAAUGAGCAUGUAAUAUGUCGUAAGUAACUGAAUGUAAUAGUAUCCAGCUUUUGUAUUUUGUUUAAAGUUUUCAAGAUACAGUUAAUACAUGUUUAGUUAGCUUA